rnacentral:lncRNA from 1 species
CGGUAGAGUGCUUGCCUAUGAUAUGCAAGGACUCAGGUUGGAGCCCCAGUGCUGAAAGAAUCAGGAAAUUAAGUCAUGAAGUGGUGCCUGGGCAGAUAGAGGCCUUAGGAGGAAACUGCAUGUUUUGAGGGACAGAGCUGGGUCAGCAGAGUGUUUCCACACAAAUAAACUGACUUUUGCAUUGAGAAUGUGUAUCAACAGAUACCACAAGGUCAAAGUUCCCAGGCUCCCAAGUCCUUGAGGAAUUCUGGAAGGAAGCUGUUUAUAGUCAUUUUUCUAAGGAAGAAAUUGGAGAGUUGAGAUAUAUGCUUUCUCCUGCCAUCUUCAUGGCCUUCAUGGCCUGCUUCAGGACUCAGUGGGAAAUUCAAAAGGCCAGGAACUCUUGCCUAUGGAGUGAUACCACUCACGUCGGGCAGUAUCUAUUAACAAUCAAGACAAUCAAGACAAAUACCCCAUCGACAUGCUCAUAGCCCAAUCUGAUCUGGUCAGUCCUUCAGUUGAGACAUCCUAGGUAAAUUGCUUAUAUUUAUGUCUUUCAAAAACCUCCUUCCAGGGGAAUUCAAAGUAGGAUAUUGGAGCAGUCAAUUCAGUUGCCCAGGACUACAUGGCUGGAAUAAAUUUAUAUCAGUUUUCCCAAGACAAAACCUCAUGGGAGAGGCAGUUGGUUUCUCUGGCCUUUCUACCUUUAAGAGGUCUUCAGCAAAGCCCUUGCCUUGUGGGAUUUCUGAGUUUAAUUCUGAGUUAAAACCCUUCAGUCUUGGGAGGAAGAGAUGGCUCAGUGGUUAAGAGCACUGGCUUCUCUUCCAGAGGGCCUGGGUUCAAUUUCCAGCACCCACAUGGUAGUUUACAGCUGUCUGUAGCUCCAAUUCCUAAAGAUUUGACACCCUCACACAGGCACCAAUGUGCAUAUAAAUAAAACAACAACAAAACCCUUUGGUCUCCGGAGAAGAAACGCCAACUACAAAAGGCACACCUAGCACUGCCCUCUGAGUGUUGGGUGCCACUUGCUACAAAUCCUGGUUUGGCUGCUGACUCGAUGGAGGUGUGAAGCCUUGGGUGAGCCUGGAGUGAAGCCCUGGGUGAUCUUGUUACCCUUCUCUAUCAGUUACCUAAUCUUAAAGCCGAUGAAAUUACAGUGCCGGCUGCAUCUCUGCUGGGAAGCCGCUCUACGCUGGGGCCUUGUCAGAGCAUUGAUCUCCUCCCGGAAGUGAAGCAUGUCGGGAAACUGAGACUCAUAAAGGCCCGGCUUGCCUAGAUAUCUGAGGCCUUGAGGUCCAGCUUGCCUCCCAUUCCCUGGGUACUCCAUCCCUAAAUUGGUUUUACAGUUUGUGAGCUCCCAUUCUGCCACAGUGUCUGAAACUAAAUUAUGUACUAGCCAUUUCAGUAACUUUUCGAAGUACGAAAACCUCAUAUGCUUGGGCAGAUAUGGUUACAGAAUUCUGAUAUGAGAAAGUUUUAUUCAGACUACGAUUGAAUCAAUGUGUUGUCAUGGAUGAGUUGGUUAUUCAAGAUCUAAUCAGUAGU